UUGACUGGGGCGGUCGCCUCCCAAAAGGUAACGGAGGCGCUCAAAGGUUCUCUCAGUACGGUCGGAAAUCGUACGUAGAGGGUAAAGGCAAAAGAGAGCUUGAUUGCAAGACAUACAGGUCGAGCAAGGAUGAAAAUCGGACUUAGUGAUCCGGUGGUGCUGCGUGGAAGGGCCAUCGCUCAACGGAUAAAAGCUACCCUGGGGAUAACAGGCUUAUCUCCCCCAAGAGUCCACAUCGACGGGGAGGUUUGGCACCUCGAUGUCGGCUCAUCACAUCCUGGGGCUG
rnacentral:rRNA from 1 species